rnacentral:rRNA from 1 species
CCUACGGGGGGCAGCAGUGGGGAAUAUUGGACAAUGGGCGAAAGCCUGAUCCAGCCAUGCCGCGUGUGUGAAGAAGGCCUUCGGGUUGUAAAGCACUUUCAGUGGGGAAGAAAGCCUUGGGGCUAAUACCCUCGAGGAAGGACAUCACCCACAGAAGAAGCACCGGCUAACUCCGUGCCAGCAGCCGCGGUAAUACGGAGGGUGCGAGCGUUAAUCGGAAUUACUGGGCGUAAAGCGCGCGUAGGCGGUCUGAUAAGCCGGUUGUGAAAGCCCCGGGCUCAACCUGGGAACGGCAUCCGGAACUGGCAGGCUAGAGUGCAGGAGAGGAAGGUAGAAUUCCCGGUGUAGCGGUGAAAUGCGUAGAGAUCGGGAGGAAUACCAGUGGCGAAGGCGGCCUUCUGGACUAACACUGACGCUGAGGUGCGAAAGCGUGGGUAGCAAACAGGAUUAGAUACCCUAGUAGUC